GUAUAGCAGUCGGUUGACCGUGUAGUUAACGGUGUGGUGUUAUUUUUUUAAAUAAAAAUUUUAGACUUUAUGCAGUGAAACUAUUGAAAGGAACUGUUAAAAUGAAAAGUCUUAUUAACGCCAUCAAAAUUAUGGGACAGUGGUACUAAAUAGCCUAAUGCUUGACGUCUGAAGAUUACCAAAAUGAAAAAGUAACUAACCACGUAGUACAUCAGUCAGCAAGGAAAUGAUUGAACUCAAUCGUCACCGUGGAAAAGUUUAUCAGGGUGGAAUGAAUGAAAUGAAUAUCGCAACCCAAGCCGAGUGCCAGAACCGAUAUUUCGAUGGUAUUAACUGACAGUCCCUUGAAGUGGAUUUGAGUGGUAACCGUUCCAACUAGGAUCCACUUUAUAAGUCACCACUGAAGCAACUAGAAGAAUAAGCACCAAAGACCUCAAUGGUUCGGAAAGCAGUUUAAUCCGUACAACUAAAAAUGGCGAGGUAAAGGAGGUCGUUCAUGAGGACGAGGAAGGAGUUGUUAAUGCCACUGCUAAUGCUGCCAUAUCGAUUUCCUUAGAAACUUGUCAGAAACAGAGAAAUGUAUUUGCAGCUUCUGUAUGUACGUAUAAGUAUAUAGGUACUACGUGGUGGUGGUGGUGAGUGCCGUAGCAGUUGAAGGAAGAAGGAGCCACUACGUUUGCUGAAGUGCCGAAUCAAACCGGGCUCUUGGCAAACUGCGGAAUUCACUCUGUUUGAUUAAAAGCCAAAGCCAAAUGCACCACCAAUCGUUGACAAGCGAUUCGGUUACUACCGACUAAAUUCUUUGAGUGCUUGGCAGGAUAAUGAACAAAAUCCUACCAUAUUUUGGAAGCCAUAGGGUUUAUAUUCUUAAUCCGCUGGUCGAGGAUCACUCAGAUACCUCGUAUAAGCCCUUACCAAGAUUUAAUGCAAUGGUAUAAAGCAACCGGAACUUCUUAAUAAUCGCAGUUGAAGAAAUUAAGUAAAUGUAUUAGUAAUAUUACAAAAAAAUUCAUAGAAUCUUUGACAAGACAACCGAGGAUAUUCGGUUGUUUCUGGCUUUAUUUGCUUCAUUGCCGCUACUACUACUACUACCUUAUUUUAUUUACGUUCAUUUUUUAAAACCUUAACAGGAUCAAUGGUCAAGUGAACCCUUUUUGUUCAUUAGUCUUAUCACCGACUAAAUUUCUUCAGACAUCGGAAGGAUCUACUAUACUUAGCAGGACUACAGAGUUUAUUCCCCAAUCCAUUAACCGAAGAACAAUAAAAUACUUCUAUAAGCCCGUGACAAAAUCAUUGAUGUAAUUAAUUAGUUUUUUAACUCCUUAGAAUAAGAGAACCGGAAUUCAUUAAAUUACAGAAGAAAUUCAUUGAAAACAUUCACAAUAUCACUGAAGAAAUUUAUUGGAAUCUUUGACUGGACAACCAAGAAGAGUGGGAUAGCAAGAUACUCUUCAAGCCUUCAAAAGGACCACUGAGAAAAUUCGUUGGAAUAAAAAUAAAUAACUAAGUGGUUGCUAUAACUCGGGAGGACGUUCUUGAAAAAUUCGUUGAGAGCGUUGACAGGACCAAAUAAUUCGUUGGGAAUCCUGGCAGGACCAUCCUGAUAUAUCUGUGAAGAAGUAUGUUGGAAUCAUUGACUGGACAACCGAGAAGAAUCAUACGCUUUGGGCUGGAGUACGAACGCCACACUUAAUUAUUUGUCAGGAUCAUCGAGAUAGGAUAACAAGAUACUCUUCAAGCCUUGAAGAGGACCAUUAAGAAAAUUCGUUGGAAUCCUUCAAAUAACUAAGUGGUUGCGACAACUGGAAAGAACCUUCUUAAAGAAUUCGUUGGAGCGUUGGUAGGACCAGAAAAUUCGUUGGGAAUCCUGGCAGGACCAUCCAUCUAGGAGAUUGGUUGAAGCAAUUGCAACUACCACCAUGGAUCGGAAAUUAUAUAAAGUAGAUCAGCAUAAUAAAAGAAUGAAGAGCUCAUAAGAUCACAGAAGAAAUUCAUUGAAAACAUUGGCAAUAUCACUUGAGAAGUUUAUUGCAAUCUUUGACUGGACAACCGAGAAGAGAUAACAAGAUACUCUUCACGCCUUCAAAAGGAACACUGAGAAAAUUCGUUGGAGCGUUGGAAAGAUCUGAUGAUUUUUUGGAAAUCCUGGCAGGAUCAUCCAUCCAGCAGAUUCUUUAAAAUGGACCAGCAUGAAGGAAAUGAUGGAGAGAUUUGAUUAUUUAUGUGUCGAAUGGGGUUCAUUUUGGAAUUAAGUAAAAAGAUAUGGAAUGGAAAUGGAAUUAUUUGAAAUAGAAUUGGAUAAAGAAAUGGAAUUUAUUUGAUUAUGGAAUUAAAUAAAGGAUAGACUUAACUGUUUAGGGAAUGGAAUUAAUUAAAUAAGGAAUAUGGAGGAUAUGUCGAAUGAGUUAAGAGGGAGGUUGUACUGUGUUGUGUUAUGUAAUGUAAUUGAAAUGUAUUAUUUAGAUGUACUAAUAUUUAUUUAUGUUACACAUUUACCACUUUAAAUGUAAGUUUAUGUGAGUAUAUAAAUUGUUUAAAAAAAA